UACGGAGGGGGCUAGCGUUGUUCGGAAUUAUUGGGCGUAAAGGGCGCGUAGGCGGCCAUUCAAGUGACGGGUGAAAGCCCUCGGCUUAACCGAGGAACUGCCUGUCAGACUGGAUGGCUUGAGACCGGGAGAGGUGAGUGGAAUUCCCAGUGUAGCGGUGAAAUGCGUAGAUAUUGGGAGGAACACCAGUGGCGAAGGCGGCUCACUGGACCGGAACUGACGCUGAGGCGCGAAAGCGUGGGGAGCAAACAGG
rnacentral:rRNA from 1 species